rnacentral:sRNA from 1 species
ACGAAUCGUUCACGUAUCAUUAAUUUGGGUAGAUCCCCUGUUAACAGAACAUGGACUUUUCCCGUCUUUUUAUGUCAAAGUUGGACAAAGGUUUUGUGGUUGUUUGAAACUCUCUGCUUGUCAUGAAUUUUAUACACUAACUAACUGGACGAAGGAUGUAUUCGAAUGCAGGUUUAUGUUUGUAUAUGUAGUAAAAUUCAUUAUAUUUUAUUAGCUUUUGGAUUUUAUGUUUUCCUUUGGUUUAUUUCAAAUAUACAAACAAGCAUAAAAGUGAAUGUUGCAACUCGAAGAAAAAUGUCUAGAUAUUUGUGCUUAAUACUGCUACAAUGA